UCCUUGUUUGUUUAGUGAUGAAUAUCCCUACCUGUCAUGUGGGAAACUGGGGUUCGAUUCCCCAAGAAGGAG
rnacentral:tRNA from 1 species